CCUCGGUGUGUGGAACUGGGGAAGCAAGGGGUGAGUGCUCCUCCUUGCAGAGGGCUCAUACAUGCCCAGAGCCGCUGAGCUGCCUGGCAACGAAGUCUGGCUGUUUCAAAAAGGCUGAAGCUUUGCAGGCUGGAGAUGUGGACAUCUCCUACCAGAGCCCCAGCCCAGCAGCCCGGGGGUGGUUUAGGUGCAGACGUGGCUUUGUGCUGGGUGCUGCUUUCCGAGUGAGUGUUGUUGUUGAAGCCUAGUGGCCAUGAGCUCCCAAGCCUGGGUUGGAGCUCUGCAAAAUCAGCAGUUUUGCGGCAGAGCUUUGGCAUUCCCUGGAGCUGCCCAGGCUGAGAGGGAGAUAUCACAAAGGGUGUGAGGAGCUCAGGCAGGUGUGAGCAGGGUGUUGUGCAAGCGGGGGCGUGCGUGUCUGCACGGCUGCCCCUCUGCUCGGGGAGCAGCAGCCGGCAGAGCCCGGGCGGCUGAGUUCAUUUCUCCUUUAUGCUCAUUCUCAAUGAAUAUCUCUGCUAAUGAGUUUGCUGGCAGGAACAACUGCAUGGACAGCAGUUUUUAUGUCAGUGCCUGCUAGAAAUGAAUUUGAAGCUCAUAAAGAGAAGGGCUUUCAACCAAAGCGUGGUGCUGGAGGGGUGCCCGGGAGAGUCCCGGUGCCCAGGGCCGAAAUCCCCGUCUGGGGUCAGCUACGCAAUUACUGGGACAAGCGUGCUGGGGAAAAUGAUAAAGUUUUGCUUACUGACAACUGGAAAAGGGAAAUAGAGGGGAAAAGUGCGCAUUAUUGUUUGCUAGAUAUCGUUUGCCGAGCUCUACUUUUGUUCUUUUAUCAGAGGACUAACCUGUGAUAAGCGCCACGCUCCCUCUGCUAUCUUGAGCAGCUGGUAGCGGAUUCAUUUCCCUCCUGAGCACAGGGCUGGUUUCUGGUAGCUCUAAUGAGGAGGAAGGCAAAUCCAGCCUGGCGAGCAAGUGUCUAUUACACCUCUCUCGAAGAAAAGAUUUUUAGAGCUGGAUUAAAUGGGUUUGGGGAAAAUGUCUUUGGGAUUGGAGAUACAAAUGGCUUUUUGAGCAAAACAAAAGCAUUCAUUUUUAAAGCCCAAACUGUUUCAUUAUACAUGUUCAGGCUUUGUUUGUUUAUGUCAGAAGUGAUAGGCUCGUAUGGGCCUGAAAAUUGAAAACUUUUAAGUGUUCUGUCUUGGACUUUCAAUGAAAAAGCAAAUCCUUUUCAAAGGUGAUAUGGAAGAAUAAGAACAAUUAAAAAUUUAUUUCCUGGGAGAAAAAAACAUUAGAACUAUUGAAAAAAGAAGUUCAUGUGUGUAUUUUCAGGCAAACUUCUCUCGCCUUUCAAGGUACGAGCUCUCGUCUGGUCUGAAUAGAAUAGCACAGGGGUCCUUUUGUGCCAUUUGAAGCUGGGGAAGGGAGUCUGUCUAGGGAUGCAGAAAUGCUUUGCUAACACCUGACAUUUGAGGCAAUCUGCCCUUUUCCAAAGGCAAACUCCUUAGAAGUAUUUUCAUGAGUGAUAGAGAUAAUCAGGCUGAAAUCCCAGCUCCCCUGAAAUCAAUGGACUCUUUUUGAGCGACCUUAAUGGGGCCGGCACUUCUCUCCUAAUCUCUGCCGGCGCUGAAUUAGCAGCAGCACGGGGUAGAGCUGCCAGGGGAUGGGGAGCACGGUGGUGCUGUAACUGUUUGUCCUCGCUCCUUCAGCAGGGAGCCUCCCGAAUCUGAAGGGAAGAGUGGGGAGAGGGACCUGGGACAGAAAGGAGCCUGCUGAAGUGAUUAACCCAAAGUAAUUCUGAGAGCUACAGGGGCUAGGACUAGAAAGAGAAUGUGGACAUGCAGAGUAGACAAAGCAAGCGAGGCGAAACCCAGACUUGAAAGACCAAAAGGACUGACUGACCUUACCCAAAAUCAAGGAAAGGUGAUGUGAAAGUCAGCCUUGAAGCUGAGAUAAUGCUGCAAAGCCACUCUGGAGAGGGAGGAUGCUGCUCUGGGAAAGGGCGCGAUGUUGUACUUCAAACAGCCUGUCACCUGAGUAUCUUUCCUGGAUUUCACACUGUUUACCUUACACGCAUAGCAUACAUGAUCAACUGGAAAAAAAUAAAUGUAGCUUGUGACUGUCUUCUUUAGCUAGGAAAUAAUUAAAGGCUGCAUGUCUGCCUGGUAAUUCAGCAAAAGAUUUAAGGACAGGCCGUGACCUCCUUCCAGGGUUGAGACAAGUCAGAGCAAACCUCGGGGCACCGCAGCCUGUGCUGGGAGCAGGGGAUCUCUUUGGUUUGUGCUGCUUGUGAAUCUGCAGCUUCCCUUUGCCCGCUGCUCUGUCAGGAGCCUGUGGCAGAGUCGAGCACGACACCAGCUCCUUGCUGGCCUGUUAGGGACCAUCGCUGCCCCGCUGGGCUCAGCCUGCGGCAGCAGUGAAUGUCAGAUCUGCCUGUGCAUGUGUGAAAAGCUGAUGGGCUUUUCACAGCAUCCUUUUGCUUGUACAGGGCUCGUGGGGCUGGCCGUGCGUGUUUCCCAUCUGCACCGCUGUCUGAACAAGCCCUUCCCUGUGCUGGCGUGACACCUCCUCUCUAGACUCUGCAGUUUUGGCCUUUCUGCUAACAAAAGUGUAAUGAGUGCCAGCAAUACCUUGUAGCUCUACAAAAGGAACUCUAGUUCCCUUCCUGACGUGGCCCAGAUGCGCUAUAUUUCCCCAGAGGGUUUUGCAUAGGCUGCCGAAGUGCCCGGGGAGAUCAGCAGCUCGGCUGCUGGACGAGAUGCGUGCUGCAUCGCCAAAGGGACAGGGCAGUGCCUGGAGCCGCUGUGCUCUGCAUAAAGCAGGCGCCGUGCUCGGAGCGCACGCCACUUGAUGGAGCAUUGGUAGUCAGCGUGCAGCUCCACUGCUGGUGAUUUGAUCUCGGAUGAGGGUCCCGAUAUAACUAGCUUCGCAAAGCCGAGGCUCUGCAGUCACACAGGGCUCCCUCUCCGGGGCCCUGCUGUAGCUGUGCCCCCUCGCCGACGGGGCAGCCCCAGCCCUCUGCUGAGCGUGUGCUCCCGGGGGAUGCUCAGCAGCCGACCUGUGUCUGUCCUUAAUUACAGCCCCAAACCCCCAGCUCCUGCAGGGCCCAGCAUCCCCACCGGACCUCGGGGAGCGAUGGAUGUGCCCUCACCCAGCUGCCUUACUUGGCCUGGAGAGGCUGGCGGUGCUGAGCCAGCGUGGCUCCAGCUGAUGUGUCUGCUCACAGAGCCUUUGUAGCUGCCUGGUGGGGACUUGUAACCAGUGAGCUCUCCCGUGGUCUGUUCCUAGGGGGGAUUUUGAGCUCUGUUGAUAAAAAUUCAGCAUCUUUCAUCCACACAGGCAGUGAUUAUGCUCCAGCUGGUGAGAAUCCCCUUGCCAGGGGAGCAGGAUCCGCGCCCCACCAUGACUGGGCAGAAAUCUUUCUUCUACUUAGUGAAUCCUCUGGUUUUCAUCCUGUUUCCGAGGGACAGUAAUCUGCAGAGUGUAAGGUCACUCUCAGCUCCGAUUUGGUGGAAAGGAUGAAGAGGAAACGUAUCACAGCUCUCUGCUUUGUUCUCCUCCAAGCCCAGGCUGGAGUCCAGGCCGGCUUGGCUGACACCGCCCGUGCAGAGCCUGCAGCUAGCAGCCUACACCUGAACCCUGGUCGGGAGCACAAUGCAGCAGAUAAACAGCAGUGGGUUCUGGAGGACUGGGCUCUGCAGCUCGGCCAGAGCGUGUAUUGAUCCUGCUAACAAAAGAAACACAUUUAGAACAAGACAAAACUAAGCAGCCCUUUGUAAAGCGAAAGCAGCUGGCUCAACUAAUUAAAUGUUAAAAAUUCCAGCAAGACGAGUGUACCAGAAAAUAAACAGGCAUUGCAGCCAGGAUAGAAAGUGUUGGAAAUGAUCUAUGUGUUCUCCUGUCUCUCCGCAUGCGUUUGUAGGGAUGCUGGCACCAGCGUAACCACGCGUUCACAUGUCCCCGUUG